CUGUUUUGGAUCUUAGUUGAAAAUUGUAUGGAAAUCCAGUUUUAGCUAAUACUAAUUGCAAUUUCCUACACUAUGGAUUUAGUAAUGCAAUUGCAAGUUCCAUGGUAUAUAAAUUUCAAUAUUUUUUCCAGUGUCUGUUAGUGGAGCACCGUUGUGCUCCGCUAGAAGAUCGACACUCAAAUAAAGUCAGUCAUCAUCAUCAGUGCAUAAAUUAUAUAAGUAAACUAAGGUCUUUGUUGUCAGUCAUCUGAGAGUCAAUGCAGAAGAUUCUUCAAUUAUGUAUUUAAUGAUGAAACUAACAAUAUUAAAUAAGACUUGCUACAAGUCGACUCGUUUUGUAACUUGUCUCCCAAAGAGCAAAACGAGUCAGCGAAUAAAAGAAGUGUACUUGCCACAGUAAAAAUUUUCAAAGUACAAAUUUUGCUCGUCUGUAUGGAUCAACAAAGAAACCUUGUCAACGCAAUCUUGCACGCAGUUGGUCAGUGACCUAUUGUUGAGUAAUAGGUAAUAAUAGCCAUCCACAUCGUGGCAGUCAGCCUGAAAUUCAAAAACUUGUCGUUGAAAAUUUGUUGCACAUAAACACGUGCACUUGGCAAAUAAAACCCGCCAUAUGAAAACUUUUCGUAGAAAACUUGCUCGUCUGCAACCAGCUUAUGUAUCAGUGUAGCUGAUUAUCCUUUCGACGUGAAGCCUGUCUGCCAGUAACCGGCUUUCGAUCGGUUAUCUAUGGUUAAUGCUUGUGCCUUCUGUGACUACACCGUG